rnacentral:rRNA from 1 species
CCUACGGGAGGCAGCAGUGGGGAAUAUUGGACAAUGGGCGAAAGCCUGAUCCAGCCAUGCCGCGUGUGUGAAGAAGGCCUUCGGGUUGUAAAGCACUUUCAGUGGGGAAGAAAGCCUUGGGGCUAAUACCCUCGAGGAAGGACAGCACCCACAGAAGAAGCACCGGCUAACUCCGUGCCAGCAGCCGCGGUAAUACGGAGGGUGCGAGCGUUAAUCGGAAUUACUGGGCGUAAAGCGCGCGUAGGCGGUCUGAUAAGCCGGUUGUGAAAGCCCCGGGCUCAACCUGGGAACGGCAUCCGGAACUGUCAGGCUAGAGUGCGGGAGAGGCAGGUAGAAUUCCCGGAGUAGCGGUGAAAUGCGUAGAGAUCGGGAGGAAUACCGGUGGCGAAGGCGGCCUUCUGAACUGACACUGACGCUGAUGUGCGAAAGCGUGGGUAGCAAACAGGAUUAGAUACCCUGGUAGUC